rnacentral:rRNA from 1 species
AAUAGAUACCCGGGUAGUCCACCCGUAACGUUGGAACUAGUUGUGGGUCCAUUCCACGGAUUCCGUGACGCAGCUAACGCAUUAAGUUCCCCGCCUGGGGAGUACGGCCGCAAGGCUAAAACUCAAAGGAAUUGACGGGGACCCGCACAAGCGGCGGAGCAUGCGGAUUAAUUCGAUGCAACGCGAAGAACCUUACCAAGGCUUGACAUACACGAGAACACCCUGGAAACAGGGGACUCUUUGGACACUCGUGAACAGGUGGUGCAUGGUUGUCGUCAGCUCGUGUCGUGAGAUGUUGGGUUAAGUCCCGCAACGAGCGCAACCCUCGUUCUAUGUUGCCAGCACGUAAUGGUGGGAACUCAUGGGAUACUGCCGGGGUCAACUCGGAGGAAGGUGGGGAUGACGUCAAAUCAUCAUGCCCCUUAUGUCUUGGGCUUCACGCAUGCUACAAUGGCCGGUACAAAGGGCUGCAAUACCGUGAGGUGGAGCGAAUCCCAAAAAGCCGGUCCCAGUUCGGAUUGAGGUCUGCAACUCGACCUCA